rnacentral:rRNA from 1 species
UUUAUUGAGAGUUUGAUCCUGGCUCAGGACGAACGCUGGCGGCAUGCCUAACACAUGCAAGUCGAGCGAGUGGAGUUCUUCGGAGCAAAGCUAGCGGCGGACGGGUGA